CAAAAACUUAAAAAUACAAAUACAAACUAUCGCUCAACUCUUCAUUAUGAAAUACAGGUACAAAGAUAUGAGGAGAGGAAGACCUCCACUAAACCGAGCAACUCAGGAUGGUUCACUUCGAAAGGAUAUUGAUAGACUCUUUGAGAUGCUUGAGAGAUUCAUCUCUGCACAGCAAGCCCGAAAGGAAAGGAGAGAGCUGUCUGACCCUCCCCCAACCUCCACAGUUUGAGCCACCCUUGCAGUGGAAAGAUUUGAAGCCACCCCGGUACAACCCUGCUUCUCCACUAUAUCAUCCGGCACCACCAGAAUAUAAUAUAAUACCUCCAUC
rnacentral:lncRNA from 1 species